rnacentral:rRNA from 1 species
UACGUAGGGGGCAAGCGUUGUCCGGAUUUAUUGGGCGUAAAGAGCGUGUAGGCGGCCAAACAGGUCAGCUGGUGAAAACUCGAGGCUACACCUCGAGACGUCGGUUGAAACCGUUUGGCCUAGGAGUCCGGAAGAGGAGAGUGGAAUUCCCGGUGUGAGCGGUGAAAUGCGCAGAUAUCGGGAAGAACACCCGUGGCGAAGGCGGCUCUCUGGGACGGUACUGACGCUGAGACGGCGAAAAGCGUGGGGAGCGAACAGG